GCUUUACACAUGCAAGUCGAACGGCAGCACGGGGCAACCUGGUGGCGAGUGGCGAACGGGUGAGUAAUAUAUCGGAACGUGCCCAAUCGUGGGGGAUAACGUAGCGAAAGUUACGCUAAUACCGCAUACGAUCUACGGAUGAAAGCGGGGGAUCGCAAGACCUCGCGCGAAUGGAGCGGCCGAUAUCAGAUUAGGUAGUUGGUGGGGUAAAGGCUCACCAAGCCAACGAUCUGUAGCUGGUCUGAGAGGACGACCAGCCACACUGGAACUGAGACACGGUCCAGACUCCUACGGGAGGCAGCAGUGGGGAAUUUUGGACAAUGGGCGCAAGCCUGAUCCAGCCAUUCCGCGUGCAGGAUGAAGGCCUUCGGGUUGUAAACUGCUUUUGUACGGAACGAAACGGUCUGCCCUAAUACGGCGGGCUAAUGACGGUACCGUAAGAAUAAGCACCGGCUAACUACGUGCCAGCAGCCGCGGUAAUACGUAGGGUGCAAGCGUUAAUCGGAAUUACUGGGCGUAAAGCGUGCGCAGGCGGUUAUAUAAGACAGAUGUGAAAUCCCCGGGCUCAACCUGGGAACUG
rnacentral:rRNA from 1 species